ensembl:misc_RNA 7SK 7SK RNA
GGAAGCAUGAGGAUGAUCUGGCUGUAACACAUCAACCCACUGAUCACCAGAGUUGAUUCAGCUCAUCUGGCUGACGAGGUGAGAGUUCCCUUCCUCCCUCACUGCUCCAUGUGUGUCCCACCUAGAUCUGUGUACUUAGUCAAAGAGGACAAUUUUCCCUGAAAGAGGAGGAUCAUUCUAUAGUCAAGGGUAUAUGAGUAGCUGUAUUUCCCCACUAGAACCUCCAAAGCUCUCACAGUAGGGAGCUUCCAAUGUAAUUUUGUU